GCGGCCUUAGCUCAAUUGGAAGAGCGCCCAGGUUCCAACCUAUGAUGCGGGGAGGGAGGUUUCAGGUUCGAGUCCUGAAGGCUGCGCCA
rnacentral:tRNA from 1 species